rnacentral:rRNA from 1 species
UACGAAGGGGGCUAGCGUUGCUCGGAAUCACUGGGCGUAAAGCGCACGUAGGCGGCUCUUUAAGUCAGGGGUGAAAUCCUGGAGCUCAACUCCAGAACUGCCCUUGAUACUGAGGAGCUUGAGUCCGGGAGAGGUGAGUGGAACUGCGAGUGUAGAGGUGAAAUUCGUAGAUAUUCGCAAGAACACCAGUGGCGAAGGCGGCUCACUGGCCCGGUACUGACGCUGAGGCACGAAAGCGUGGGGAGCAAACAGG